rnacentral:rRNA from 1 species
UACAGGGGGUGCAAACGUUGCUCGGAAUUAUUGGGCGUAAAGCGCGCGUAGGCGGCUACUUAAGUCGGAUGUGAAAGCCCUUGGCUCAACUGAGGAAGUGCACCCGAAACUGAGUGGCUUGAGUACUAAAGAGGGUCGCGGAAUUCCCGGUGUAGAGGUGAAAUUCGUAGAUAUCGGGAGGAACACCGGUGGCGAAGGCGGCGACCUGGGUAGAUACUGACGCUGAGGAGCGAAAGCAUGGGGAGCGAACAGG